CGGCGUCACGAGUGGCAAUCACAUUUAUUGGGUCUAAAGCGUUCGUAGCCGGUUUGGUAAAUCUUUUGUGAAAUUGUCGGGCUUAACUCGACAGCGUGCAGAAGACACUACUAGACUUGAGACCGGGAGGGGUUAGAAGUAUUUCAGGGGGAGCGGUAAAAUGUUAUAAUCCCUGAAGGACUACCAAUGGCGAAGGCAUCUAACCAGAACGGAUCUGACGGUGAGGAACGAAGGCCAGGGGAGCGAACCGGAUUAGAUACCCGCGUAGUCC
rnacentral:rRNA from 1 species